UACUCGAGUGGCGAACGGGUGAGUAACACGUGGGUGAUCUGCCCUGCACUUCGGGAUAAGCUUGGGAAACUGGGUCUAAUACCGGAUAGGAGCCAUCUUUAGUGUGGUGGUUGGAAAGUUUUUUUGGUGUAGGAUGAGCUCGCGGCCUAUCAGCUUGUUGGUGGGGUAAUGGCCUACCAAGGCGGCGACGGGUAGCCGGCCUGAGAGGGUGUACGGCCACAUUGGGACUGAGAUACGGCCCAG
rnacentral:rRNA from 1 species